rnacentral:rRNA from 1 species
GACGAACGCUGGCGGCGUGCUUAACACAUGCAAGUCGAACGGAAAGGCCCUGCUUUUGUGGGGUGCUCGAGUGGCGAACGGGUGAGUAACACGUGAGUAACCUGCCCUUGACUUUGGGAUAACUUCAGGAAACUGGGGCUAAUACCGGAUAGGAGCUCCUGCUGCAUGGUGGGGGUUGGAAAGUUUCGGCGGUUGGGGAUGGACUCGCGGCUUAUCAGCUUGUUGGUGGGGUAGUGGCUUACCAAGGCUUUGACGGGUAGCCGGCCUGAGAGGGUGACCGGCCACAUUAGGACUGAGAUACGGCCCAGACUCCUACGGGAGGCAGCAGUGGGGAAUAGUGCACAAUGGGCGGAAGCCUGAUGCAGCAACGCCGCGUGCGGGAUGACGGCCUUCGGGUUGUAAACCGCUUUCGCCUGUGACGAAGCGUGAGUGACGGUAAUGGGUAAAGAAGCACCGGCUAACUACGUG